rnacentral:ribozyme from 1 species
UGGAGGGCGAAUGAUUGGUGGCCGUCUUUCUUCCGUUCUGCUUGGAGGGAAAACGCUCGGAUUUUAUCAGUGGGAGUAAGUACUGGCCACUCGACGAUAAUCCACUCCCCCCUUCCGGCAUGAAACACCAGCCCAAG